rnacentral:RNase_P_RNA from 1 species
CAACUUUAUUGUGCGGUCGCGGGGGUAACACCGUGAGGAAAGUCCGAGCAUCGCAGAGCAGGAUAGCUGUUAACGGCAGCCGAAGGCGACUUCAGGGCAAGUGCAACAGAAAUAUACCGCAUUAUUUAUAGUGUAAGGGUGGAAAGGCGAGGUAAGAGCUCACCGUAGAACAGGUAACUGUUUCUAUCUGUAAACCCUAUCCGAUGCAACACCGAUUGGUUCCGUGGCAAAACCGUCUGCUCGGCGGUCACGGAUUAAGGUGGCUUGAUUUUUCCGGCGACGGAAAAAGUAGAUAGAUGAUCGCACACGACAGAACUCGGCUUACAGAUAAAGUUGCUUU